rnacentral:rRNA from 1 species
GAUGAACGCUGGCGGCGUGCCUAAUACAUGCAAGUCGAGCGAACAGACGAGGAGCUUGCUCCUCUGACGUUAGCGGCGGACGGGUGAGUAACACGUGGAUAACCUACCUAUAAGACUGGGAUAACUUCGGGAAACCGGAGCUAAUACCGGAUAAUAUAUUGAACCGCAUGGUUCAAUAGUGAAAGACGGUUUUGCUGUCACUUAUAGAUGGAUCCGCGCCGCAUUAGCUAGUUGGUAAGGUAACGGCUUACCAAGGCAACGAUGCGUAGCCGACCUGAGAGGGUGGUCGGCCACACUGGAACUGAGACACGGUCCAGACUCCUACGGGAGGCCGCAGUAGGGAAUCUUCCGCAAUGGGCGAAAGCCUGACGGAGCAACGCCGCGUGAGUGAUGAAGGUCUUCGGAUCGUAAAACUCUGUUAUUAGGGAAGAACAAAUGUGUAAGUAACUAUGCACGUCUUGACGGUACCUAAUCAGAAAGCCACGGCUAACUACGUG